UAAUGAUAAUGUGCAGACACAGGCUGUGCAAGUGAUGAUACACAGAUAAUGAUAAUGUGCAGACACAGGCUGUGCAAGUGAUGAUACACAGAUAAUGAUAAUGUGCAGGUACAGGCUGUGCACUUGAUGAUACACAGAUAAUAAUAAUGUGUAGACACAGGCUGUUCUAGUGAUGAUACACAGAUAAUGAUAUUGUGUAGACACAGGCUAUGCUAGUGAUGAUACACAAAUAAUGAUAAUGUGCAGGCACAGAUAUUAAUAAUGUGCAGACACAGGUUGUGCACGUGAGGAUACACAGAUAAUGAUAAUGUACAGGCUGUGCAAGUGAUGAUACACAGAUAAUGAUAAUGGGCAGACACAGGCUGUGCACGUGAUGAUACACAGAUAAUGAUAAUGUGCAGAAACAGGCUGUGCAAGUGAUGAUACACAGAUAAUGAUAAUGUGCAGACACAGGUUGUGCACGUGAUGGUACCCAGAUAAUGAUAAUGUGCAGGCACAGGCUGUGCAAGUGACAAUACCCAGAUAAGGAUAAUGUACAGGCUGUGCAAGUGAUGAUACACAGAUAAUGAUAAAGUGCAGACACAGGCUGUGCAAGUGAUGAUACACAGAUGAUGAUAAUGUGAAGGCACAAGUUUUGCUUGUGAUGGUACCCAGAUAAUGAUAAUGUGCAGGUACAGGUUGUGGACGUGAGGAUAACUAGAUAAUUACAUGCACAGACACAGGCUGUGCACGUGACGAUACCUAGAUAAUGAUAAUGUGCAGACACAGGCUGUGCAAGUGAUGAUAAAAAAAUAAUGAUAACUAGAUAAUUACAUGCACAGACACAGGCUGUGCACGUGACGAUACACAGAUAAUGAUAAUGUGAAGGCACAGACUGCAUUUGACGAUACACAGAUAAUGAUAAUGUGCAGACACAGGCUGUGCACGUGACGAUACCCAGAUAAUGAUAAUGUGCAGACACAGGCUGUGCAAGUAAUGAUACAUAGAUAAUGAUAAUGUGCAGGCAGAGGCUGUGCAAGUGAUGAUACACAGAUAAUGAUAAUGUUCAGACACAGGCUUUGCACGUGAGGAUACCCAGAUAAUGAUAAUGUGCAGAAACGGGCUGCGCAAGUGAUGAUGCACAGAUAAUAAUAAUGUGCAGACACAGGUUGUGCAAGUGAUGAUACACAGAUAAUGAAAAUGUGCAGGCAGAGGCUGUGCAAGUGAUGAUACACAUAUAAUAAUAAUGUGCAGACACAGGCUGUGCUAGUGAUGAUACACAGAUAAUAAUAAUGUGCAGACACAGGCUGUGCAAGUGAUGAUACACAUAUAAUAAUAAUGUGCAGACACAGGCUGUGCUAGUGAUGAUACACAGAUAAUAAUAAUGUGCAGACACAGGCUGUGCAAGUGAUGAUACACAGAUAAUGAUAAUGGGCAGAUACAGGCUGUGCACGUGAGGAUACACAGAUAGUGAUAAUAUGCGGAAACAGGCUGUGCAAGUGAUGAUGCACAGAUAAUAAUAAUGUGCAGACACAGGCUGUGCAAGUGAUGAUAGACAGAUAAUGAUAAUGUGCAGGCAGAGGCUGUGCAAGUGAUGAUACACAGAUAAUGAUAAUGUGCAGACACAGGCUGUGCUAGUGAUGAUACACAGAUAAUGAUAAUGUGCAGACACAGGCUGUGCAAGUGAUGAUACACAGAUAAUGAUAAUGUGCAGACACAGGCUGUGCAAGUGAUGAUACACAGAUAAUGAUAAUGUGCAGGUACAGGCUGUUCACUUGAUGAUACACAGAUAAUAAUAAUGUGUAGACACAGGCUGUUCUAGUGAUGAUACACAGAUAAUAAUAAUGUGCAGACACAGGCUAUGCUAGUGAUGAUACACAGAUAAUAAUAAUGUGCAGACACAGGCUGUGCAAGUGAUGAUACACAGAUAAUAAUAAUGUGCAGACACAGGCUGUGCUAGUGAUGAUACACAGAUAAUAAUAAUGUGCAGACACAGGCUGUGCAAGUGAUGAUACACAUAUAAUAAUAAUGUGCAGACACAGGCUGUGCUAGUGAUGAUACACAGAUAAUAAUAAUGUGCAGACACAGGCUGUGCAAGUGAUGAUACACAGAUAAUGAUAAUGGGCAGACACAGGCUGUGCACGUGAGGAUACACAGAUAGUGAUAAUAUGCGGAAACAGGCUGUGCAAGUGAUGAUGCACAGAUAAUAAUAAUGUGCAGACACAGGCUGUGCAAGUGAUGAUAGACAGAUAAUGAUAAUGUGCAGGCAGAGGCUGUGCAAGUGAUGAUACACAGAUAAUGAUAAUGUGCAGACACAGGCUGUGCUAGUGAUGAUACACAGAUAAUGAUAAUGUGCAGACACAGGCUGUGCAAGUGAUGAUACACAGAUAAUGAUAAUGUGCAGACACAGGCUGUGCUUGUGAUGGUACCCAGAUAAUGAUAAUGUGCAGGUACAGGUUGUGGACGUGAGGAUAACUAGAUAAUUACAUGCACAGACACAGGCUGUGCACGUGACGAUACCUAGAUAAUGAUAAUGUGCAGACACAGGCUGUGCACGUGACGAUACCUAGAUAAUGAUAAUGUGCAGACACAGGCUGUGCACGUGACGAUACCUAGAUAAUGAUAAUGUGCAGACACAGGCUGUGCAAGUGAUGAUAAAAAAAUAAUGAUAAUGUGCAGACACAGGCUGUGCAUGUGAGGAUAGCCAGAUAAUGAUAAUGUGCAGACACAGGCUGUGCAAGUGAUGAUACACAGAUAAUGAUAAUGUGCAGACACAGGUUGUGCAUGUGAGGAUAGCCAGAUAAUGAUAAUGUGCAGACACAGGCUGUGCAAGUGAUGAUACCCAGAUAAUGAUAAUGUGCAGGCACAGGUUGUGCUUGUAAGAAUAACCAGAUAAUGUGCAGGCACAGUUUGUGCUUGUGAUGGUACCCAGAUAAUGAUAAUGUGCAGGUACAGGUUGUGCACGUGAGGAUAACUAGAUAAUUACAUGCACAGACACAGGCUGUGCACGUGACGAUACACAGAUAAUGAUAAUGUGAAGGCACAGACUGUGCAUUUGACGAUACACAGAUAAUGAUAAUGUGCAGACACAGGCUGUGCACGUGACGAUACCCAGAUAAUGAUAAUGUGCAGACACAGGCUGUGCAAGUAAUGAUACAUAGAUAAUGAUAAUGUGCAGGCAGAGGCUGUGCAAGUGAUGAUACACAGAUAAUGAUAAUGUUCAGACACAGGCUUUGCACGUGACGAUACCCAGAUAAUGAUAAUGUGCAGAAACGGGCUGCGCAAGUGAUGAUGCACAGAUAAUAAUAAUGUGCAGACACAGGUUGUGCAAGUGAUGAUACACAGAUAAUGAAAAUGUGCAGGCAGAGGCUGUGCAAGUGAUGAUACACAUAUAAUAAUAAUGUGCAGACACAGGCUGUGCUAGUGAUGAUACACAGAUAAUAAUAAUGUGCAGACACAGGCUGUGCAAGUGAUGAUACACAUAUAAUAAUAAUGUGCAGACACAGGCUGUGCUAGUGAUGAUACACAGAUAAUAAUAAUGUGCAGACACAGGCUGUGCAAGUGAUGAUACACAGAUAAUGAUAAUGGGCAGAUACAGGCUGUGCACGUGAGGAUACACAGAUAGUGAUAAUGUGCGGAAACAGGCUGUGCAAGUGAUGAUGCACAGAUAAUAAUAAUGUGCAGACACAGGCUGUGCAAGUGAUGAUAGACAGAUAAUGAUAAUGUGCAGGCAGAGGCUGUGCAAGUGAUGAUACACAGAUAAUGAUAAUGUGCAGACACAGGCUGUGCUAGUGAUGAUACACAGAUAAUGAUAAUGUGCAGACACAGGCUGUGCAAGUGAUGAUACACAGAUAAUGAUAAUGUGCAGACACAGGCUGUGCAAGUGAUGAUACACAGAUAAUGAUAAUGUGCAGGUACAGGCUGUGCACUUGAUGAUACACAGAUAAUAAUAAUGUGUAGACACAGGCUGUUCUAGUGAUGAUACACAGAUAAUGAUAUUGUGUAGACACAGGCUAUGCUAGUGAUGAUACACAAAUAAUGAUAAUGUGCAGGCACAGAUAUUAAUAAUGUGCAGACACAGGUUGUGCACGUGAGGAUACACAGAUAAUGAUAAUGUACAGGCUGUGCAAGUGAUGAUACACAGAUAAUGAUAAUGGGCAGACACAGGCUGUGCACGUGAUGAUACACAGAUAAUGAUAAUGUGCAGAAACAGGCUGUGCAAGUGAUGAUACACAGAUAAUGAUAAUGUGCAGACACAGGUUGUGCACGUGAUGGUACCCAGAUAAUGAUAAUGUGCAGGCACAGGCUGUGCAAGUGACAAUACCCAGAUAAGGAUAAUGUACAGGCUGUGCAAGUGAUGAUACACAGAUAAUGAUAAAGUGCAGACACAGGCUGUGCAAGUGAUGAUACACAGAUGAUGAUAAUGUGAAGGCACAAGUUUUGCUUGUGAUGGUACCCAGAUAAUGAUAAUGUGCAGGUACAGGUUGUGGACGUGAGGAUAACUAGAUAAUUACAUGCACAGACACAGGCUGUGCACGUGACGAUACCUAGAUAAUGAUAAUGUGCAGACACAGGCUGUGCAAGUGAUGAUAAAAAAAUAAUGAUAACUAGAUAAUUACAUGCACAGACACAGGCUGUGCACGUGACGAUACACAGAUAAUGAUAAUGUGAAGGCACAGACUGCAUUUGACGAUACACAGAUAAUGAUAAUGUGCAGACACAGGCUGUGCACGUGACGAUACCCAGAUAAUGAUAAUGUGCAGACACAGGCUGUGCAAGUAAUGAUACAUAGAUAAUGAUAAUGUGCAGGCAGAGGCUGUGCAAGUGAUGAUACACAGAUAAUGAUAAUGUUCAGACACAGGCUUUGCACGUGAGGAUACCCAGAUAAUGAUAAUGUGCAGAAACGGGCUGCGCAAGUGAUGAUGCACAGAUAAUAAUAAUGUGCAGACACAGGUUGUGCAAGUGAUGAUACACAGAUAAUGAAAAUGUGCAGGCAGAGGCUGUGCAAGUGAUGAUACACAUAUAAUAAUAAUGUGCAGACACAGGCUGUGCUAGUGAUGAUACACAGAUAAUAAUAAUGUGCAGACACAGGCUGUGCAAGUGAUGAUACACAUAUAAUAAUAAUGUGCAGACACAGGCUGUGCUAGUGAUGAUACACAGAUAAUAAUAAUGUGCAGACACAGGCUGUGCAAGUGAUGAUACACAGAUAAUGAUAAUGGGCAGAUACAGGCUGUGCACGUGAGGAUACACAGAUAGUGAUAAUAUGCGGAAACAGGCUGUGCAAGUGAUGAUGCACAGAUAAUAAUAAUGUGCAGACACAGGCUGUGCAAGUGAUGAUAGACAGAUAAUGAUAAUGUGCAGGCAGAGGCUGUGCAAGUGAUGAUACACAGAUAAUGAUAAUGUGCAGACACAGGCUGUGCUAGUGAUGAUACACAGAUAAUGAUAAUGUGCAGACACAGGCUGUGCAAGUGAUGAUACACAGAUAAUGAUAAUGUGCAGACACAGGCUGUGCAAGUGAUGAUACACAGAUAAUGAUAAUGUGCAGGUACAGGCUGUUCACUUGAUGAUACACAGAUAAUAAUAAUGUGUAGACACAGGCUGUUCUAGUGAUGAUACACAGAUAAUAAUAAUGUGCAGACACAGGCUAUGCUAGUGAUGAUACACAGAUAAUAAUAAUGUGCAGACACAGGCUGUGCAAGUGAUGAUACACAGAUAAUAAUAAUGUGCAGACACAGGCUGUGCUAGUGAUGAUACACAGAUAAUAAUAAUGUGCAGACACAGGCUGUGCAAGUGAUGAUACACAUAUAAUAAUAAUGUGCAGACACAGGCUGUGCUAGUGAUGAUACACAGAUAAUAAUAAUGUGCAGACACAGGCUGUGCAAGUGAUGAUACACAGAUAAUGAUAAUGGGCAGACACAGGCUGUGCACGUGAGGAUACACAGAUAGUGAUAAUAUGCGGAAACAGGCUGUGCAAGUGAUGAUGCACAGAUAAUAAUAAUGUGCAGACACAGGCUGUGCAAGUGAUGAUAGACAGAUAAUGAUAAUGUGCAGGCAGAGGCUGUGCAAGUGAUGAUACACAGAUAAUAAUAAUGUGCAGACACAGGCUGUGCUAGUGAUGAUACACAGAUAAUAAUAAUGUGCAGACACAGGCUGUGCAAGUGAUGAUACACAGAUAAUGAUAAUGUGCAGACACAGGCUGUGCAAGUGAUGAUACACAGAUAAUGAUAAUGUGCAGGUACAGGCUGUGCACUUGAUGAUACACAGAUAAUAAUAAUGUGUAGACACAGGCUGUUCUAGUGAUGAUACACAGAUAAUGAUAUUGUGUAGACACAGGCUAUGCUAGUGAUGAUACACAAAUAAUGAUAAUGUGCAGGCACAGAUAUUAAUAAUGUGCAGACACAGGCUGUGCAAGUGAUGAUACACAGAUAAUGAUAAUGGGCAGACACAGGCUGUGCACGUGAUGAUACACAGAUAAUGAUAAUGUGCAGAAACAGGCUGUGCAAGUGAUGAUACACAGAUAAUGAUAAUGUGCUGACACAGGCUGUGCACUUGAUGAUACACAGAUAAUGAUAAUGUGCAGGUACAGGCUGUGCACUUGAUGAUACACAGAUAAUAAUAAUGUGCAGACACAGUCUGUGCUAGUGAUGAUACACAGAUAAUAAUAAUGUGCAGACACAGGCUGUGCUAGUGAUGAUACACAGAUAAUGAUAAUGUGUAGACACAGGCUGUGCUAGUGAUGAUACACAGAUAAUGAUAAUGUGUAGACACAGGCUGUGCUAGUGAUGAUACACAGAUAAUGAUAAUGUGCAGGCACAGACUGUGCAAGUGAUGAUACACAGAUAAUGAUAAUGUGCAGACACAGUCUGUGCUAGUGAUGAUACACAGAUAAUGAUAAUGUACAGGUACAGGCUGUGCUCGUGAUGAUACACAGAUAAUGAUAAUGUACAGGCUGUGCAAGUGAUGAUACACAGAUAAUGAUAAUAUGCAGGUACAGGCUGUGCAAGUGAUGAUACACAGAUAAUGAUAAUGAUAAUGUACAGGUACAGGCUGUGCAUGUGAUGAUACACAGAUAAUGAUAAUGUGCAGGUACAGGCUGUGCACGUGAUGAUACACAGAUAAUGAUAAUGUGCAGGUACAGGCUGUGCACCUGAUGAUACACAGAUAAUGAUAAUGUGCAGGUACAGGCUGUGCACGUGAGGAUACACAGAUAAUUAAAAUGUGCAGACACAGGCUGUGCACGUGAGGAUACACAGAUAAUGAUAAUGUGCAGGUACAGGCUGUGCACGUGAUGAUACACAGAUAAUGAUAAUGUGCAGGUACAGGCUGUGCACCUGAGGAUACACAGAUAAUGAUAAUGUGCAGGUACAGGCUGUGCACGUGAGGAUACACAGAUAAUGAUAAUGUGCAGGUACAGGCUGUGCACGUGAGGAUACACAGAUAAUGAUAAUGUGCAGACACAGGCUGUGCUAGUGACGAUACACAGAUAAUGAUAAUGUGCAGACACAGGCUGUGCACGUGAUGAUACACAGAUAAUGAUAAUGUGCAGACACAGUCUGUGCUAGUGAUGAUACACAGAUAAUGAUAAUGUACAUUUACAGGCUGUGCUCGUGAUGAUACACAGAUAAUGAUAAUGUACAGGUACAGGCUGUGCAAGUGAUGAUGCACAGAUAAUGAUAAUAUGCAGGUACAGGCUGUGCAAGUGAUGAUACACAGAUAAUGAUAAUGUACAG